rnacentral:lncRNA from 10 species
UGGGGGCUCCUGUCCCGGGGACCGCCGAGGAAAUGGAGAGCAUGGGCAGGGGACUCAGCAUGGGAAGCUGGAGAGCUUGAUAGAGUUACCAGAUUUAGCAGAUAAAUAUACAGGACGCUCAAUUAAAUUUGGAUUUUAGUGGCUUGUUGUCAGAGGCCCCAAAUGAAAAACUCUUCUUCGUGGACACUGGCUCCAAGGAAAAAGGGCUGACAAAGAAGAGAACCAAAGUCCAGAAGAAGUCACUGCUUCUCAAGAAACCCCUUCGGGUUGACCUCAUCCUCGAGAACACAUCCAAAGUCCCUGCCCCCAAAGACGUCCUCGCCCACCAGGUCCCCAACGCCAAGAAGCUCAGGCGGAAGGAGCAGCUAUGGGAGAAGCUGGCCAAGCAGGGCGAGCUGCCCCGGGAGGUGCGCAGGGCCCAGGCCCGGCUCCUCAACCCUUCUGCAACAAGGGCCAAGCCCGGGCCCCAGGACACCGUAGAGCGGCCCUUCUACGACCUCUGGGCCUCAGACAACCCCCUGGACAGGCCGUUGGUUGGCCAGGAUGAGUUUUUCCUGGAGCAGACCAAGAAGAAAGGAGUGAAGCGGCCAGCACGCCUGCACACCAAGCCGUCCCAGGCACCCGCC